rnacentral:rRNA from 1 species
UGUAUAAUGGGUCAGCGACUUAUAUUCUGUAGCAAGGUUAACCGAAUAGGGGAGCCGAAGGGAAACCGAGUCUUAACUGGGCGUUAAGUUGCAGGGUAUAGACCCGAAACCCGGUGAUCUAGCCAUGGGCAGGUUGAAGGUUGGGUAACACUAACUGGAGGACCGAACCGACUAAUGUUGAAAAAUUAGCGGAUGACUUGUGGCUGGGGGUGAAAGGCCAAUCAAACCGGGAGAUAGCUGGUUCUCCCCGAAAGCU